rnacentral:rRNA from 1 species
GAUCAUGGGCUCAGGAUGAACGCUAGCGGCAGGCUUAACACAUGCAAGUCGAGGGGUAGAGGAAGCUUGCUUCCUUGAGACCGGCGCACGGGUGCGUAACGCGUAUACAAUCUACCUUUACAGAGGGAUAGCCCAGAGAAAUUUGGAUUAAUACCUCAUAGUAUUUUUGAAUCGCAUGAUUUGAUUAUUAAAGUUCCAACGGUAAAAGAUGAGUAUGCGUCCCAUUAGCUAGAUGGUAAGGUAACGGCUUACCAUGGCUACGAUGGGUAGGGGUCCUGAGAGGGAGAUCCCCCACACUGGUACUGAGACACGGACCAGACUCCUACGGGAGGCAGCAGUGAGGAAUAUUGGACAAUGGGCGCAAGCCUGAUCCAGCCAUGCCGCGUGCAGGAAGAAGGUCCUAUGGAUUGUAAACUGCUUUUAUACAGGAAGAAACACUCCCUCGUGAGGGAACUUGACGGUACUGUAAGAAUAAGGAUCGGCUAACUCCGUG